rnacentral:rRNA from 1 species
UACGUAGGUGGCAAGCGUUGUCCGGAAUUAUUGGGCGUAAAGCGUGCGCAGGCGGUUUUGUAAGUCUGUCGUGAAAGCCCCGGGCUUAACCUGGGAAUUGCGAUGGAGACUGCAAGGCUUGAAUCUGGCAGAGGGGGGUAGAAUUCCACGUGUAGCAGUGAAAUGCGUAGAGAUGUGGAGGAACACCGAUGGCGAAGGCAGCCCCCUGGGUCAAGAUUGACGCUCAUGCACGAAAGCGUGGGGAGCAAACAGG